rnacentral:ncRNA from 1 species
CAAGGGUCCGGCUGUUCGCCGGUUAAAGCGGUACGUGAGCUGGGUUUAGAACGUCGCGAGACAGUUCGGUCUCUAUCUGUCAUGGGCGCAGGAGAUUUGAGUGGGGCUGUCCUUAGUACGAGAGGACCGGGAUGGACGCACCUCUGGUGUACGAGUUGUCGUGCCAACGGCAGCGCUCGGUAGCUACGUGCGGAAGGGAGAAACGCUGAAUGCAUCUAAGCGUGAAACCCUCCACAAGAUGAGAUCUCCCAGCCGUAAGGCUCUGAAGGCUCCUGGAAGACUACCAGGCGAUAGGUCGGGUGUGAAAGGCCAGCGAUGGCUGAAGCUAACCGAUACUAAUCAGCCGUGAGGCUUGACCAU